UACGUAGGUGGCGAGCGUUGUCCGGAAUUACUGGGUGUAAAGCGCGCGUAGGCGGUAGGCCAAGUCUGCUGUGAAAUCGCCCGGCUCAACUGGCGCGGUCGGUGGAAACUGGUCAACUGGAGGACGGUAGAGGCGAGUGGAAUUCCCGGUGUAGUGGUGAAAUGCGUAGAGAUCGGGAGGAACACCAGUGGCGAAGGCGGCUCGCUGGGCCGGACCUGACGCUGAGGCGCGAAAGCGUGGGGAGCGAACAGG
rnacentral:rRNA from 1 species